UCAGAAUUCAGUCUCAAAUCCUUUGAAUUGUUCUGAUCUGGUGGAAACAAGCUUCCCUAGUUUGCCCUGCUCUGUGGAAGUGUCUUGUGAGUGCCGUUUCAUGUCAAGCAGAAGUUAUCCACCACACUUUCACUGCUGUGAUUUCCUCCUGACUUUCAGAUCGUGGCGGUCGAGGCGGGUACGGAGGAGACCGCGGCGGAUUCAGAGGCGGCAGAGGAGGAGGAGGAGGAGGCUUCAGGGGUGGAGACCGCGGAGGAUACAAGAUGGGCGGAAGGGGAGACCACAGAGAGGAGAGACGGGGCCGGCCGUACUGAAGCCAUUCCAGACCGGUGUUUAUUGUGGGGUGGGGGGAGAGGUUUGUGUCCGCAGUCCUUUCUGUUGCAUGAGCAUAUACUGUCUGAAACGAGCAGUUUUUCCCAUAAAUGUUGAAUCUACUCUGAGGGGCUGAGUGAAGGGGACGGGAUGAAUUUGAUCUCUGCCACUUUGUACAGCUUCAGUCCUGUAAGUGGCAGCACUGGCCACAGAUCAGCUUUAAAGGG